rnacentral:rRNA from 1 species
UCGAACGGUGAUGCUCCAGCUUGCUGGAGUGGAUCAGUGGCGAACGGGUGAGUAACACGUGAGCAACCUGCCCCAAACUCUGGAAUAAGCGCUGGAAACGGCGUCUAAUACUGGAUACGAGACCAACCUGCAUGGGUAUGGUUUGGAAAGUUUUUCGGUUUGGGAUGGGCUCGCGGCCUAUCAGCUUGUUGGUGAGGUAAUGGCUCACCAAGGCGACGACGGGUAGCCGGCCUGAGAGGGCGACCGGCCACACUGGGACUGAGACACGGCCCAGACUCCUACGGGAGGCAGCAGUGGGGAAUAUUGCACAAUGGGCGAAAGCCUGAUGCAGCGACGCCGCGUGAGGGAUGACGGCCUUCGGGUUGUAAACCUCUUUCAGCAGGGAAGAAGCGAAAGUGACGGUACCUGCAGAAGAAGCACCGGCUAACUACGUGCCAGCAGCCGCGGUAAUACGUAGGGUGCGAGCGUUGUCCGGAAUUAUUGGGCGUAAAGAGCUUGUAGGCGGUUUGUCGCGUCUGCUGUGAAAAUCCGGGGCUCAACCCCGGACUUGCAGUGGGUACGGGCAGACUAGAGUGUGGUAGGGGAGACUGGAAUUCCUGGUGUAGCGGUGAAAUGCGCAGAUAUCAGGAGGAACACCGAUGGCGAAGGCAGGUCUCUGGGCCACUACUGACGCUGAGAAGCGAAAGCAUGGGGAGCGAACAGGAUUAGAUACCCUGGUAGUCCAUGCCGUAAACGUUGGGAACUAGGUGUGGGUCUCAUUCCACGAGAUCCGUGCCGCAGCUAACGCAUUAAGUUCCCCG